GCUGGGCUUUCUAUUCUCUCUUCUCUCCUCCCUCUCUUCCUCUGCUGUCACCGGAGGCACCCACAGGGCCAGGGUAGGAAGGACGGUGCACAGAGGUGGGAAUAUGCAGAGAGGCAUCGAAAAGUGCAGCCGGGGCCGCCAAAAUGCAUCACACACACUGGAGGCCUCAGAACACAGAGCUUGAUUCUCAGCUCGCAUUCACUGGAGCCCAGCUCUGGAUUCAGAUCCUUUUUUCCAUCCUGAGGAAGUGAAAACGUUAAAAAAAAAAAAAUCAAAUUGCUUUUUGGCUAAGAACAAAAGUAAGAAGUUGAAAUCGGAGGGAUCGUUUUUCACAAUGUUAGACAAUUUCAGUGAGAAAUAAAGGGAAG
ensembl:lncRNA